CAGCUCUCACCACCUCUCCCGGCAGAAAAAAAAAACAUAGGCCACCCCUGCUCUCGAUCCACCCUGUCCCGAUGCGACCACUCUUUUCCCUCUUCACGAUGCGCCGCCGCCCCCAUCUCCCGCUCCACAGCUGCCGACCCCUACCUUCCCCUAUCUCCCGCUCAGCCACCUCACCACCCCCACGCUUCUCCCAUCACCGGACAGAGUUUGCUGCGCAACGGCGGCGGCCUCGGAUCUGGGCUAUGAUUGAACUUAUCCGGGAGGAGGUCGUCGAUGAGCCACCGGUGGCGGAGCCGGGCCAGAGCGGGAAGAGGUCGUCGACUUGGGGCGGCAGCGGAAUGGGUCGGAGGUCGAGUCGGGGCGGCGGCGGGGGUCGGAGGUCACGAAGGUGCCCCGGCCGACGCGACGCGCAGCACCGCAGCUUCCUCAUCCUCUCCUUCUUGUUGUUGUAGUUUCCAUUCACAUGUUUUAUCUACAAAAUCUCCCAUAACGACUACUUGUUGCCUCUUAGUGGUUUAUUUCUUUCUUUCAGAUUCAGAUGGAUGCCUCUUCUACAUAAUUCAUCAGCUGCAGCCUGCAGCAGGACAAGCUUAAUUAUAUUGGUGGCUCUUUAAAGGAUUAAUUGGUAACGAGCAUUUCUAUUGAGGAGAGGAUAAUAUGUCCGGGACAGCAUCUGCGUUUUGAUUUUGAAAAGUAAGAAUCAAGGUACACUCGAAAUUUUGUUAGUACUUAAUUACUAUUCCCUCCGUUCCUAAAUGUAAGUUUUUUAGAGAUUCCACUAGGUGGACUACAUACGGAACAAAAUGAAUGAAUCCAUACUUAAAAUGUAUCUAUAUACAUCCGUAUGUAGUUUAUAGUGGAAUCUCUACAAAGACUUAUAUUUAGGAACGAAGGGAGUACUUUCUUUGCAUGGUUAUCCACAUCUGUUCUGAAUAUAUAAUAUCAUCAUGCAACUUCAGUCAUCCUUCCAAGCACCAAAGCUACAAAUGAGUUCGUAUCUUGGUUUGGUCGUCGCCGGCCAGAUGAGACAUAGUAGCAGUUGUACCCAACCAAAUACAAUACUACAAGAUUAAGCUAGCAAGUUGUUUGUUGGCUUAAUCAUAUCUGCCACUUGCUAAAAAAAAUCAAGCUAGCUAACACAGAGUAUUGUCUAUUUGUCUCUCCUGGUUGGAUGUGCUCAAGCAACUCUCUGCUUCCUAAUUCCUUAAGGUUUGUCUGUACCAUUUCCACAUGCUUACCUACUGGUGGAGGCUGUUGCUUGCAGAUUGCCAAGGUUAGGCGGUGGAGCUCCACGUCCUUGACGUGCGCAUGCUCGUCAAGGAAGCGGCUCCCGAAUCUGCGCUCACGCGGCCGUGACGGAAGGGGCUCGAGAUGGCCGCCGCCGCCGCCGAAGACCAAUCCCCGACCUUGUCCCAAAUCACUUCCUCAGCCAUGUUCCACUGAGGAAGGAGGGGACGGCACAGAGAGGGUCCUCACACAGUCGUGCGGUCGACCACUACGACGCGGCCGUGCGGUGGGUACCCUCGGACGCCGCACUCCCGGGCCGGAGGGAGUCCAGAUCCGGCACAUCACAAAGGUUGCCGCGGCAGGGUGUAUGCACCUGCCUUGGGAAUCCCAGCCCGGCCAUCUUCUCCCCCGAGUUGCAGCGGCGUCGAACCCUAGAUGCACCUCUGCCCGUCCCCCAACUCCCUCCUCUUGAUUCUCCGUCGUGAGACUCCACUCAGUCCAACUCUGUGGGUGUAGGUAAACCACUUCGUUCCUCUCCUGUGCUUUCUCUUGUGCUCUUUGUGUCCAUACCAUGGCCGUUGAGCCAUGCAAAGUUCUACGCUGGCCAUGGAAUUUUCUAGGAUUUGGGCAUGUGGUGACGGUCUUCUAUGUCACUGUUUCACUGGAUUUACUCCCUCCGUUCCAGAAUAUAAGGUGUAUUGGUUUCCGUGCAAGUCAACCAUUUGAAUGUUUGACCAAGAUUAUAGAAUAAAAUAAAAACAUUUGCAAUACCUAGUAGAUAAAAUAUGAAACUACUUUUUAUGAUGGAUCAAAUGAUAUAAAUUUCGUAUUGUGAAUGUUGAUACAUUUUUCUAAAAACUUGGUCAAACUUGCACUUGUUUGACUUUUCAAAAAACAAAUACACCUUAUAUAAAGGAACGGAGGGAGUAUUAUUUAUCAAUGAACGAAUCUAUCUAGCUGUGCCGUCAGACAUUUUAUCCGCGGAUGAUCGACGCAAAUCGGCAGCAAGGACAGUUUUUGUUUUCUGGCCUAUGAAAGCUAUGUCUCUAAAGGAAGGAUCACUCAAAGUGGUUUUUUCAUUAACCCACACAUAGGUGCACUACUUGAAAGUCAUGCACCCUGAGAUAAACAUGGUUCAGGAGUGCCUCUGUUUCUAAAGUUGUUGUUUAUAAAAUACACCAUUCAUAUCUACUGCCCUUCAUCAUGCUUCCAAACUGGAAAAUAAUGCACAACUUGGGCCCCAAGUAUAAUUAAUUCAGGUUUGCUAUUUCACAUCUAGAUGUGAAAUAGCUAUCUCACAUCUAAAUGCAUAGCCAUUGGAUUUUGUCCUGUCUUUGAGAUUCGCGCGUACAACUUUGUUCGUCCCGCUUCGUGCGCGCUCGCGUCGCUGGUGCCGUUGCCUGUCUCGCGGCCCGUUCUUUCCCGUGGAUUUUGCGUAGCGGGCCGUUGUUGGUUGGGCUGGCGGGCCGUUUUUUGUCUCUGUGGGAGCAGGUUCGUGAAUUAAUGGGCGGCGAUUCAGUUUUGUCCUCUUCACAUGCUUCUGGUGACGGCGACUUCUGGAGAGCUACAAGAAGAGAGAGACGCAUUGGAGUGGCGGUGAUUGUUUGGGAGCGAGAAGGGGAGGGGGAGGAGAGGAGCAGCCAAGUUAAAGUGGUGUGCACCGGCGGUAUUAAAUUAGUGUGUUAGUCACUGAAUGGUUUUCCGAGCAAACAAUUUUCUACUUGUCAUGUUUUUGAGGAAGAGAGAUAUGACCCACCCCUGGUUUUGUAUUUUUGAAUGUUGGGGUUGAUGCUAUGUACAUAUAUGUAUGCAUU